rnacentral:rRNA from 1 species
UACGAAGGGGGCUAGCGUUGCUCGGAAUCACUGGGCGUAAAGCGCACGUAGGUGGGUCGUUAAGUCGGGGGUGAAAUCCCGGAGCUCAACUCCAGAACUGCCUUUGAUACUGGGGAUCUCGAGUCCGGAAGAGGUGAGUGGAACUGCGAGUGUAGAGGUGAAAUUCGUAGAUAUUCGCAAGAACACCAGUGGCGAAGGCGGCUCACUGGUCCGGUACUGACGCUGAGGUGCGAAAGCGUGGGGAGCAAACAGGG